GCUACUUCGAAGUGCGAUCUGAAUCGGAUACGCUGUUUUGAGCAGAGAGAACAGAGAGAGUACACCAUACUCCUGACCUGGAACAGAGAGGCCGCGCGUCCCUUGGCCCGCACCGGAGCGACCGCGCGUCCCUUGGCCUGCACCAAAGACAGACCGUUUCUUCCGAGCUACAUCAUUUGAUAAGCACGGCCAGUCUUCAUACAUAUAAAUGCACUGGCUCUUAAAGGUGGGGGAGAUGUUAGUGUGUAAAGUGAGUAAUGGGUGCAACCAUUACACACUCUCUGGCCAAGAAUAUCAACAUGCGAGGUAUAAAUGGAAAGAUUGGCUUCCAGCAGCUGCAGAUAAAAGAUGUUCUGAUUGCUGCUGUGCGACGUAAUCGCCUAACUUGUGAUGCCACUGACCAAGAAAUUGAGUCAAGAAUAACAAAAUGGCUUCAAAAUGCACCAGAUGGGAAUGGAGGGCGACAGGAGCGAAUGAGGUGAAAGGAGCAGUGAUGUGUUUAUUAAUGUUGAAAGGCUACGCCAAAGUGUUCACGAAUAUUGCUGCUGUUUGAAGACUGUUCCAGUGCCUUUUUGCACUCAAAUUUGAUUCACUGGUUUUUUUUUGUUUGU